UAAAUUGAUGUAUAAAUUUACUUGCGCAUAUCCCAAUUUUAAUCUUUUAUUUAAAUAGAUUAACUAUUAAACUAUUUUUAUAUAACUUUUAUUUAAUUAAUAAUUAGACUUAUAAAAAAAUAAAAUUUAUUGUAAAAAUAGUUUUAUAUCCGCAGCAUCGCACGGGUAUUUCACUAGUAAAUAAAUGAAAGUUGGGUUAAAUAUAUUAUAUUCAGUUUGU
rnacentral:lncRNA from 1 species